ACUGUGCUCUAAAUGGUGUUGGCUGAACUAAGAUCAUGUGUAGUAUCUGUUUUUCAACGGUCUCUAAAUCGAGACCAAUGAAAUUACCUGUAUUUUUCUCUGCCGUGAGUUUGCUCAACCCUGUCCAUAGGUCGGCCUCGUAUCGCAUUACCUCAAGGAUUUACCCAUUACAU
rnacentral:snRNA from 1 species